rnacentral:rRNA from 1 species
GACGAACGCUGGCGGCGUGCUUAACACAUGCAAGUCGAACGGAGCGAAUGAAAGCUUGCUUUUAUAAGCUUAGUGGCAAACGGGUGAGUAACACGUAGGCAACCUGCCGACAGGAUGGGGACAACAUUCCGAAAGGAAUGCUAAUACCGAAUGAAGCGCAGGAGAGGCAUCUCUCCUGCGUGAAAGAUGGCCUCUAUAUAUAAGCUAUCACCUGUCGAUGGGCCUGCGUCUGAUUAGCUGGUAGGUGAGGUAACGGCUCACCUAGGCGACGAUCAGUAGCCGGUCUGAGAGGAUGAACGGCCACAUUGGGACUGAGACACGGCCCAGACUCCUACGGGAGGCAGCAGUGGGGAAUCUUCCGCAAUGGGCGCAAGCCUGACGGAGCAACGCCGCGUGAGUGAAGAAGGUCUUCGGAUGUAAAGCUCUGUUGAUGGGGACGAACGUGCCUAAUGCGAAUAGUAUUAGGUAAUGACGGUACCCAUCG